UGGAACUUCACAAGAAUCAUUUUCACAAGACCAAAGGGAGCCUAAUUCAAGUCGUACAGAUUUCUGUUCUAAUUUCAAUCAAACAAGUCUCUUGCAAGCUCUGCGGCCUGUGGGGCUCUUGCAAUCUCCUGCGUGAGGGGCGCACGAUCGAAACAGCCCCCGCCACGAUCCAAACACAAACAGCCUCUGGGGUCACUGCCCCUCAUACAAAAUGUACACCCAACAUAAACAAAGAUGCAAUUGCUCUGCAACAAACUAAGGUUAACAUGAUAGUGUAGACAGUUCCAUGCACACAAAUUGAAGCUCAGAACAAUGCCGAUUCAGGCCGCUUGGUAAGGACAAUAUUUGAUUCCAAACAGAACAUAUCAAAUUCUCACAUAAACUGGAACAGGUCGCUUGUAACAAUUACCAAGAGUUCUUCACGUUCACAGGACAGCAAAAUUAACUACCGCGAUAGGAUCAAACCACCACUUAUGGGAGCCAAAUGACAGUGACAGAGCUCUAAUCAAACAGGGAGAAUCCCAUGUCGUCGUCGCUCUCUUCCUUCUCCUCUUCCUUCUUCUCCUCCUUGG
rnacentral:lncRNA from 1 species